rnacentral:rRNA from 1 species
UACAGAGGUCCCGAGCGUUGUUCGGAUUCAUUGGGCGUAAAGGGUGCGUAGGCGGCGGGGAAAGUCUGAUGUGAAAUCCUGGGGCUCAACCCUGGAACUGCAUUGGAUACUUCCUUGCUAGAGUACUGGAGAGGAAACUGGAAUUUACGGUGUAGCAGUGAAAUGCGUAGAGAUCGUAAGGAAGACCAGUGGCGAAGGCAAGUUUCUGGACAGUUACUGACGCUGAGGCACGAAGGCCAGGGGAGCAAACGGG